AACCCAUGGUGAGGGAAUUUUUUAACAUGUUCUUGUAUCUCUCCAAUGCAUUAUACAGGGUUUCUAGAUCUAUCUGCACAAAAGAAGAGAUAUCAUUCCUUAGUUU
rfam:Gossypium arboreum cultivar AKA8401 contig_132708_1, whole genome shotgun sequence.